CCUACGGGUGGCAGCAGUGAGGAAUAUUGGUCAAUGGGCGCGAGCCUGAACCAGCCAAGUCGCGUGAAGGAUGACUGCCCUACGGGUUGUAAACUUCUUUUGUCAAGGAAUAAAGUGAGGCACGUGUGCCUGUUUGUAUGUACUUUAUGAAUAAGGCACGGCUAACUCCGUGCCAUCAGCCGCGGUAAUACGGGGGAUGCGGGCGUUAUUCGGAUUUAUUGGGGUUAAAGGGGGCGUAGAUGGGUUGUUAAGUCAGGUGUGAAAGUUUGCGGCUCAACCGUAAAAGUGCAAUUGAUACUGGCAGUCUUGAGUACAGUUGAGGUAGGCGGAAUGCGUGGUGUAGCGGUGAAAUGCUUAGAUAUCACGAAGAACUCCGAUUGCGAAGGCAGCUUACUAAACUGCCACUGACAUUGAUGCUCGAAAGUGUGGGUAUCAAACAGGAUUAGAUACCCCUGUAGUC
rnacentral:rRNA from 1 species